GACGAACGCUGGCGGCGGGCUUAACACAUGCAAGUCGAACGGAAAGGCCCUGCUUUUGUGGGGUGCUCGAGUGGCGAACGGGUGAGUAACACGUGAGUAACCUGCCCUUGACUUUGGGAUAACUUCAGGAAACUGGGGCUAAUACCGGAUAGGAGCUCCUGCUGCAUGGUGGGGGUGGGAAAGUUUCGGCGGUUGGGGAUGGACUUGCGGCUUAUCAGCUUGUUGGUGGGGUAGUGGCUUACCAAGGCUUUGACGGGUAGCCGGCCUGAGAGGGUGACCGGCCACAUUGGGACUGAGAUACGGCCCAGACUCCUACGGGAGGCAGCAGUGGGGAAUAUUGCACAAUGGGCGGAAGCCUGAUGCAGCAACGCCGCGUGCGGGAUGACGGCCUUCGGGUUGUAAACCGCUUUCGCCUGUGACGAAGCGUGAGUGACGGUAAUGGGUAAAGAAGCACCGGCUAACUACGUG
rnacentral:rRNA from 1 species